rnacentral:lncRNA from 1 species
ACUGGAAGGCCCGCCUCCGUUCCGAGCUUCCCAGGAUCAAAGUCUUCUCCGAGUACCGCCAUGCGUCCGGACCAGGCCACGUCCUGGUACCGGCGGAUGUCCGCGGUCUACGCGCUGGGCGCCUGGACACUGCUAGGCUCCUUGAUUUUUUUAGGCCGGAAAAAGAGCACAGUACCAGGUACGGUUCUCCGGCAGCCUUCGGUGAGGCGUCCCCAGGGGUUUAUAUAAGCGGUUUAGCUGUGCCGCAAGCACCGGGUUUAUUCUGCAAAACCAGUGGGAACGAUUGCUUAGAGCCAUUCGUUAUAAUGGAAUCCACCCGGAACUACUUUUUAAGUCCUCCUGCCUACGUCUUGUUGAUGGAGGCCGUUUUUACACUUAGAAUUUGAAGAAUCUAUUUAAGGCCCCAGAGGGAAUGUCAGACCCUGGACGGUGACUUAAAGAGGUGAUGCCUCGGUUACAUUAGCCCCCGUUGUAGUUGGCGAGCAAACACUUCAGCACCCCCGCCAGCCGAGUACUAAAACCUUCCCAGUUACUGGGCGGAAAAGGAAAUCCCUGAGCCUUCAGAAAUAUGCUGGAAAUCUAUAGAUAUCUGUAAGACUUUCUGGUUGCCUGGGGCUGAAGGGAAGGGGGGGCGGGGCUUGCCAAACGGAAUGGGGUUUCUUUUUGUGAAUGAAAGCCAUUUAGUGGUACAUUUCAAAGGAGUUAAUUGUACGAUAUGUUAAGUAUAUCUGGAUAAAGCUGUUAGGUGAUAACUGCUGAAGAUUACAUUGGUGAUGACGAUUAUCAGUGGCCUGAGAAUACUAGUGUCCAGUAUUGAGCAUUUGAAAACAUUGCAGUGUCUGUAGUGCUCAUGUCAUAUUUAUUUUUUCCUUUUACAGAAAGGAAAUACAGUGUCAGAAAUCUGAUGGGGGUGGGGGUAGUUCUCACCUCAGUUUAUUUGAUUUCUGAGGCUUGACUAAUAAUUUUAAGGACGGAUUGCUGUCUUAAAAGUUCAUCAUUCAGGUGUUCCAUUUUUUUGAAAGGCAAUGAAGUAGAGCAAAAGGAUGUCGCAAGAAAUGAAAUGCUCGAGCCGCCGAAAGGGUUUUACGUGGAAACAAUUGUCACAUAUAAAGAAGAUUUUGUUCCAGUCACUGACAGGAUCCUCAACUUUUGGAAAUCAUGGACUGGUGGCCCUGGACCAGAAUCCUGAUUAACUGCUGAAAGCUGAAAACCGGGACUGGGUUCAGCAUAUACAUUUGAUGGAUGCCUUAAUUUCCAGUUUAUGUUUGUGAAAAGUGUAUCCAUUUAAUUUAAAUUUUGCUGUGAAAUAUAAUCACUAGUAAUAUGCAAUAAAUAUUUCCUUGAAGAAAAGUA